UACGUAGGGGCCGAGCGUUGUCCGGAUUUACUGGGCGUAAAGAGCGUGUAGGCGGCCAAACAGGUCCGUUGUGAAAACUGGAGGCUCAACCUCCAGACGUCGACGGAAACCGUAUGGCUAGAGUCCGGAAGAGGAGAGUGGAAUUCCUGGUGUAGCGGUGAAAUGCGCAGAUAUCAGGAAGAACACCUAUGGCGAAGGCAGCUCUCUGGGACGGUACUGACGCUGAGACGCGAAAGCGUGGGGAGCGAACAGG
rnacentral:rRNA from 1 species